rnacentral:rRNA from 1 species
CCUACGGGCGGCUGCAGUGGGGAAUAUUGGACAAUGGGCGCAAGCCUGAUCCAGCAAUGCCGCGUGUGUGAAGAAGGCCUGCGGGUUGUAAAGCACUUUUAUCGGGAAAGAAAAGCUUGGGGCUAAUAUCUUCAAGCCUUGACGGUACCCGUUGAAUAAGCACCGGCUAACUCCGUGCCAGCAGCCGCGGUAAUACGGAGGGUGCAAGCGUUAUCCGGAUUUACUGGGUGUAAAGCGCGUGCAGGCGGUUUGGUAAGUUGGAUGUGAAAGCUCCUGGCUUAACUGGGAGAGGUCGUUCAAAACUACCAGACUUGAGGGCGGUAGAGGGAGGUGGAAUUCCGUGGGUAGUGGUGAAAUGCGUAGAUAUACGGAGGAACACCAGUGGCGAAAGCGGCCUCCUAGACCGAUCCUGACGCUCAGACGCGAAAGCUAGGGUAGCAAACGGGAUUAGAUACCCUGGUANUC